UUUGGGCCCAAGGGUCUACAGAGAGUUAUCAAAGGAAAAGCUUUUAUUUUCUAUUGUGCAAGGUAAGCAAAAAAGGAUCCAGCUUAGGUAAAAAGAAACAUGUCUUACAGCCAGAGUUUACACUCCAUAAAAUGGAGUAUGUUCUGAGUCCAGGUGAACUCACCACAGCCUCACAAG
rnacentral:lncRNA from 1 species